rnacentral:rRNA from 1 species
CCUACGGGGGGCAGCAGUGAGGAAUAUUGGUCAAUGGACGAGAGUCUGAACCAGCCAAGUAGCGUGAAGGAUGACUGCCCUAUGGAUUGUAAACUUCUUUUAUAUGGGAAUAAAAUGUUCCACGUGUGGGAUUUUGUAUGUACCAUAUGAAUAAGGAUCGGCUAACUCCGUGCCAGCAGCCGCGGUAAUACGGAGGAUCCGAGCGUUAUCCGGAUUUAUUGGGUUUAAAGGGAGCGUAGGUGGAUUGUUAAGUCAGUUGUGAAAGUUUGCGGCUCAACCGUAAAAUUGCAGUUGAAACUGGCAGUCUUGAGUACAGUAGAGGUGGGCGGAAUUCGUGGUGUAGCGGUGAAAUGCUUAGAUAUCACGAAGAACUCCGAUUGCGAAGGCAGUUCACUGGACUGCAACUGACACUGAGGCUCGAAAGUGUGGGUAUCAAACAGGAUUAGAUACCCUUGUAGUC